GCAAAAUCUUCCCCCAAUUUCUUGUUUUAUUUAAAAAAAAAAAAAAUCCCCCAAAACUUGUUGUUGCAAAAAUGCCCUCUUUAGAAGACGAACUUUUCCCUUCCACCCCCGGAAAAUUCAAGAUCGACAGAAACCACCCAAUGAACCGCCAAUUCCACCGCUGUUUCGCUUCCACCAGCACCAUGUUCUUAUGGGCUCUUUUCUU
rnacentral:misc_RNA from 1 species